AGCUGGUCCGAGUGCAGUGGUCUUUACAAACUAAUUGAUCACAACCAGUUACCGAUUCCUUUGUUCCUUCUCCACUCCCUCUGCUUCACUUGACUAGCCUUGA
rnacentral:Y_RNA from 1 species